rnacentral:lncRNA from 1 species
AUGGGCAGAGUCCCUGCUUCCCCUGCCAUGGGCCCCGUGCUCUUGGCACUGCCCCGGCUCCAUCUCCCCUGGCCCCCUGGGUCCCCUCCUGCCCCAAGCGAGAGGGACAGUCGUCUCUGCGGAGAGAAGACAGCUGCGGCGCACACGCGCCCUCGUCCCGCCUCCCAGAUGGACCUGCCACAAGCGGGGCUGGGGCCUCGGGGAGCCCUGGGGAGGACGCGGGUGUCGCUGCCGUGCAGCCUGUCCCGCCCUGAUUCUUGUAGAGGAGGAGGUGUUAACUGGCUUUCGGUUCUUUCAUUGGAAACACGCUCUUGCCGUUUGAGGAGAAGAAGAUUUUCUCCAUCUACGGGCACUACCCGGUGGUCCGCGCCGCCCUGCGGAGGAAGGGCUGGGUGGAGAAGCUGCACCUGCUGCCCAGGGUCGGCCCGAACGUUGACGAUGACGAAAACAAACAAGCUGAAGGCAAAGAAAGCCAAGAAGCGGCUCUGGAGAAAACAGAUGACAUCCAUGCUGUGAUGGUAGGUCCCGUGGGCCCCCGGGGCCUCUGCUGAAGUUUGCCUGCCUCGGGACCCCCUGCCACGUCCCAGGGCGGCAAAGCCACAGUCAUGCCCGGCCUUGAGGCUAUGGCAGCGCGUGCGUGGGCAGGCACGUGUGUGUGUCCACGUGUGGCCCCUGUGAGCUGCGUCUGUACAUCCACAGAAAUCCUGUGGGCGAGGAUCAGAACAGCCCCGGGGGUGACCGUGGACACACCGCGGGGGCAGAGGGACGGGGCCAAGCUCACGCAGCCUGGCUGCCAGCCAGGGUGGCAGGCCUGCCGUCCAGGGCGCUUUUGCAGAGCUGGCGCGGGAACAGGGAGUCUGUGCUGGGGAGGCAGCCCUGAGGCCCCUGGCAGGUGGUGGAGGGUCCCGGUGCGACUCAGCGGGAGGGGAGAAAGUGGAAUGGGGGAGCGGCCCGAGGAGCACGCGCAUCUGACCCGCAGAGGCGAAGAGCUGCUCCCCAGGACCCAGCGCGAGCAGGAGGGCGGCCCGGUGAGGGCGGGGGUGUCUGCAGCGCGUGGGACCUGAUAGAGCUGGUUUUGAGGACUGGUGACGAGCUGCCAGUCGGUGACAGGACGGCCAUCAGAGAGGGCAGCAGGCCCUGAUAGGCCCACGCGCACAGCCUCGAGGUCCCCCCGGCUGCUGGGGUUGGCGGACGAGGACGCGGUGGCAACAGGGAGGAGGGGGCCUUGGCCGGUUUUCACCACCCUUUUCACCCCCCGCCUGAGCGGCCCCGUGCGGCUCUGACGCUUUUAUCUGAGCCGCUUCCUCACACACCUCCACUAGUGAG